ensembl:lncRNA
CUCAGACUCUUUACACUACACCAAAAAUAAUUUCCAAUUAUUCCAGAGUUCAAGAAUUGAAUGACUUAAUAACAAGCUCUUCCACCUGGAUUAAGGUAUCAGACCGAGAGAAAACCAUCAAGACCUGAUGGGACGAUGUAAAAGGAUGUUGCAUAAGAAUCCGAAGUCGCUGCCCACUGAAGAAUUACCAAAGAUGAAGAAACUGAAGCUCAGAGAAAACUAAGCAAGCUACCUUGAUGAGCAGUGAAGCCAGGAUCUGGGAAACUGCUUCCCAGGAACUGGGCAACUGGGCAACUGCUCCAGGGCCUUGAGCACCAGAGCGCUCUUAACCCCAGCAGCACACAGAGACUUCUCAAACUGGCAAAGGGGGUUGGUAUUGUCCCUGAGCAAGGUGGGAGAUUAAGCCAGGGCAGAGGUCUCGCGCCUGAGCCGGGCAGGUUGUUUAGCUGUGCGAGGAGGCCCAGAGUAAGGCAACGGGAAGAGGGAGGGGCUGAGGGAAACUGGAGCGUACCGUCCACAUAAAAGCUGGGACUGGUUGGCCUGGUGCCCAGGGCCCUGCUGCCCAUAUUCCACCCCAGGUCCAGGUGACCUCUGGGGGUCCCUUCAGAGCUAGCAUGUUAGGGAAAUCAGAAAUAGUAUCCACAAUCCAUUGUGACUUGGCUUUAUCGAUGUGGACCGGCAGUCCAUCAUCUGGUUGAAUUGUAAUGGAUGUUGAUAAAUAACCAUUGACUGUAUAUCAAAUUCAUUCAGUAUUGUGAAUUUGUCCUUUUUGUGGUGAUUUUUAAUCUGACCUAACAAAGAGCUUAUGGACUCUGGAACUAGAUUACCUGGUUUUGAAUCUUGGCUUUGCCACAUACUGGCAGUGUGACUUUGAGCAUGUUACUUGACCUUUCUAUGCCUCUGUCUUCUCAUCUGUAAAAGGGGGAAAUUAACAGUACACCUAUUUCAUAGCACAGUUGUUUGGAGUUUUUUUUUUUUUGAGAAAGAUUAGCCCUGAGCUAACAUCUGCUGCCAAUCCUCCUCUUUUUGCUGAAGAAGACUGGCCCUGAGCUAACAUCCGUGCCCAUCUUCCUCCACUCCACAUGUGGGACGCUCACCACAGCACGGCUUGCCAAGCAGUGCCAUGUCUGCACCCGGGAUGCAAACCAACGAAUCCCAAGCCACAGAAGUGGAACAUGCGAACCUAACUGCUGCGCCACCGGGCCUGCCCCUCAUAGCACUGUUUUAAGAUUAAAGGGUUAUUAUGUAUAAAAGGACUUACAACAGUGAUGACAAAUAGUAGGUACUAUAUAUGUGUUAGCUAUUAUUAUUAUCACUAUCCAAAAAUGAUGGUAGAUGAAAACAUCUGUUCCAACUUUUGAGACAUAAUAAACCAUGGUAAUCUGUACCAAAAUGAACGCUACCUUCAAGACUUUAUUUUGCAGGUCCCUCUUCCUUGUUCCUGCGGGACUGUGGGGCACUGCACAAUACUGAUGGGUAGAAAUGCAAGGAUCAGGGGCCUCAGGGACAUAAUUUCAGCCUCUACAAUGUACCAGCUACUAGAAGGGACGAUUCUAAAUAUCUGGUCUCUGUGAACUGAAACUUUAGCAGUAAUUGGACACUAUGAGUCUUGAGAGAGAAGAAUCUUU